ACCGAAAUGGUGUAUCGGUAACCUUACCGCCUCUCAAUUAUACCCAGCUUUCUCCGAGUCCGCGGUAGCCCGGGGUUCGAUUCCUCGUUUCGGAA